rnacentral:lncRNA from 1 species
GCUUGCUUCACACAUAUUGAUAUGAUGGAUGAUGAUAUCUAGUGCCAAUCGUUGGGAUGACCUUCAACUUUUAUUUCUCUCUCUCAUUAUUAACAAAUCAAAGCAUCGGCUCAAACUUGCUGACCGGUUAGAACCCACUCCAACAAACCAAAACUCACAAACCAUCAAGAGAGGUUCGUCUAGUCCACCCGAAUGAACUAUCAAUCUUUUCUAUCGAGGGUUGAGAUAAGGUACACGAGGCACCUAAUCACCGAACCCCAAGAAUGUCAGCUAAGGUUCUUAUCAAGGCACAACUGAGCCUCCCCAAUCCCAACUGCUCAUCCGCCUAUGCUCAUUUAUAGACAUUGCCACCGUAAGACCCCGAACGACGAUAUAAUCUCUAACAAUCCAAGCCAUUCUGGUGUGCUAUAUGGAGACAUAGAUCAUAUGCUCACUCCAUUUCAACCCAAAUUAUUACUCCACCUGAACCUUCGGAAUCAAACAUUGAUCCAAAUUAUAAUAUGUAAGUAAAAUGGGGUAAAAGGAUAAAGCUGAAAUCAAUAACAAAGACACUGGGAAUUAACGAAGUUCAUGGACCAACUAAUCUUUAGGGACAAAGCCAGUGACUAAUUUUAUUAUUACGUGAGGGAGAAGAAGGGUAGAAAAGUAGAUGAUUACAAUUAGGGUUAAUCAGUGAGUAUUUUUUCUUCUCUUAAAGGUUAAUCAGUGCUCUUAAUUCUAACCCCCACGAUUUGACUACCCACUUACCCCCCUUCUAAGUUUUACUGGAUUUACGCAACAAAUAUUAUUUACUUACUCACAUUUUUCCUCUUCCAUAAUUUGAGUCCCGUCCGUCCCCUGAACAGUGAAAAACUAAAGUGUCAGACCAUUCCCCUUUUCCCUGUGGAACAAGAAACACAGUAACCAUAAACAGUAGAAGUGGAUCAUCGAAGAGACGCACUGUGGUGGGGAGAAAUCCCAGAAUUUCAGGCUUGGAGGGGCAGUCAGUCACAGUCAGAGACAACGUACAACAAUUAAGGAAGUGGACAGAGGGACCUGCAACCAAACAGUACAUCAUUUCAGGUAUGGGGAAUUUGAGGGAGAGGGAGUGCUCUCUAUUAUAAACAAUCCUGACAUCAUAGGGUGUAAGCUAGCUGCCAGGGGAGGAGUACCUUAAUUUCUGGGAUUCUGUGUUGUGAAGAAUAAUUGCUGGAAUAUACUCGGACAUGGAU